GAGGAGACUGGCCGGGGAGGAGCUGGCCGGGGAGGAGGCCCCCCAGGAGAAGGCGGAGGACAAGCCCAGCACCGAUCUCUCAGCCCCAGUGAAUGGCGAGGCCACAUCACAGAAGGGGGAGAGCGCAGAGGACAAGGAGCACGAGGAGGGUCGGGACUCGGAGGAGGGGCCAAGGUGUGGCUCCUCUGAAGACCUGCACGACUGACCCCAGGGCCCCGCUGGCUGGCACUUCCGGCGGCCCCUACAGAGAGGCAGCUCCAGGGCUUUGAGCUGCCUGCCCCUGGCCUCCUGGGAAGGUGGCUUCUUGCCGAGCCUCCA
rnacentral:lncRNA from 1 species